rnacentral:snRNA from 1 species
GGAUGUGAGGGCGAUCUGGUUGCGACAUCUGUCACCCCAUUGAUCGCCAGGGUUGAUUUGGCUGAUCUGGCUGGCUAGGCGGGUGUCCCCUUCCUCCCUCACCACUCCAUGUGUGUCCCUCCCGAAGCUGCACACUCGGUCAAAGAGGACAACCAUCCCCGAUAGAGGACCGUUCUUCGGUCAAGGGUAUACGAGUAGCGGCGCCCCCCCUGCUAGAACCUCCAAACAAGCUCUCAUAUGUGCAUACAAGACUUGGGUCAUUUCUCACCCUG